rnacentral:tRNA from 1 species
GCCCCUGUAGCUCAGUGGUGAAGGGCGCCAGCCACAUACACUGGAACUGGCAGGUUCGAACCCAGCCUGGGCCU